rnacentral:rRNA from 1 species
GAUCAUGGCUCGGGAUGAACGCUAGCUACAGGCUUAACACAUGCAAGUCGAGGGGCAGCAUGGUCUUAGCUUGCUAAGGCCGAUGGCGACCGGCGCACGGGUGAGUAACGCGUAUCCAACCUGCCCACCACUUGGGGAUAACCUUGCGAAAGUAAGACUAAUGCCCAAUGAUAUCUCUAGAAGACAUCUGAAAGAGAUUAAAGAUUCAUCGGUGAUGGAUGGGGAUGCG